rnacentral:tRNA from 12 species
GCCCCAGUAGCUCAGCGGAUAGAGCAGCCGCCUCCUAAGCGAAAGGUCGCAGGUUCGACUCCUGCCUGGGGCACCA